rnacentral:lncRNA from 1 species
GGGAGAGGCAGACAUUGCUGCCCACAGACCUGCCUCUGACUCAACUGUGUCCACCCUCCCUGGUCCCUACCCCCAAGUCACAGGUGACUCAGCAGUGACCCUGUGUGCCAGGCCAGAUCCAAACUGAGAGGGAAGGUGUCGUUUUUACACUGCUAAUGACGAGAGUGGCUCUUUUUAGCUAAGCGAGUACAGACGGGGCCUGGGAGGGGGCAGAGAUGUUCCCCAGGCCCUGCCUGUGGUUCCUGCCUGGGCCUUGGCUGCUGCUGUGUGAGAGCUGCAUGUGAGCCUGUGACCGUGAGCUGGGGUGAGCUGGGCCGCACCUACCCUGGGGCCCCAGGGAGCAGGACGCUCCGGGGCCCAGCACGUUGCCCUGGGCCUGUGGCCGGAGUCGGAGUCCUCUCUCCUCCUCCUGGCUUUUGGAAAGGCUUGGCUGUGUU